rnacentral:lncRNA from 1 species
AAAUCAUGCACGUGAGUGGGUGAGGUUUGAUAAAUCAAGGCGAUGAUAGAAGUAGAGAACAUAGUGAGAUCCAAAGAUAUUAAGCAAACACAAAUAAAAUAUCUGACUAAUAAGUGAAUAACAAUGUCUCUCGGCGACGAAGUUUUGCAUUGCAAAAUCAGGUCUGUGAUUAGAGAAAGAGAGAAGAUGUGUUUCUGUAUCAAGAUGCAAUUAUAAAGAAAAACCUCGUAUGAGGUCAUACUCAACAUCAUCACCAGUUCGACACAAGCAGAGGACACCCUAGUCUGGCUACCAGAGGUCUCAGGGACCUACACUACGAGAUCGGGUUACAGACUAGCAAGCACGGGGGAACAAGCGGGAACACAACACCAAGGAGAUUUCGACUGGCUAAAAAACAUUUGGAAUCAAAAAACGAGCCCUAAACUGCAACAUUUCCUCUGGAAAAUAAUGAACAAAGCCAUCCCAGUAAGCGCAAAUCUUGAACGACGAGGCUUCCCUGCUUUCUGCUGCAAAAGCUGUAAUGGCAUCGAGGAUGAUCUACAUACCUUUCUUUUAUGCCCGUUAGCGGAAGCAGUCUGGAAUUUAGCGCCGUUAGAUAGGAGACCCGACCCCUCCAUCCCCUCAAUAGCUACACUAUUAUCUCUUGGAAAUAAGAGCAUUACACUACCUCCUAUUGGUCUCCACAUCCCGCUGUGGCCUUGGCUACUAUGGCGUAUAUGGAAAGCGCGUAACAAACUAUGUUUUGAUGACAGGUCUUCUACAGCUUUGGAAGUGAUACACAGAGCAAUCAAGGAUGCAAAAGAGUGGCAAGAAGCACAACAGGAAGACGUAACAGGCCAGGAACAGGGCCCAAGCCCCAGAACAUCACCCACUUAUACUCCCCACGGCUACGAAGAUACGUGCCAUGUCGAUGCUGCAUGGAAAAGGGAGACGGGAACCUGCGGUGUGGGAGGAAUCUUCAGAGGACCGAACUGCACUUCACUCCCAACCAUCCGGUAUCAUCGUCGUUAUACAUCAUCAGCCCUUAUAGCUGAAGCCCUUGCGGUGCGUUCUGCAGUCAUGAUGGCUGCGUCGUCGAACAUUCAAUCCCUUACCGUCUUCUCUGAUUCUUCAGUCCUCAUCUCUCUAUUGAAGACAAAGGAAUCAAGACCGGCGCUGUAUGGCAUUAUGUUUGACAUCUAUCACCUUUGUCGUUUAUUUGAUACAAUCUCUUUCUGUUAUGUACCUCGGUUACAAAACACUGAGGCCGACGAAGUGGCAAAGUCGGCUCUCUUAUGUGCUGAUGUACCUCCUAUGGAGUAAAACACCCCUUUUAGUUUUAAUGCAAGUAGUUUGAUCAAAAAAAAAAAAAAAAAAAAAAAAAAAAAAAGAAAAACCUCGUAUAUUUAAAGUAACAGUAGUUAUUUUUUAGAUUGUUGAUAACUGGUGAUCGUGGUCUGGAAAGAAAACGGUCGGCGAAGUGGCAAGAAGAAAUAUUUUUGAUUUUAUGAGAUAAACAUUUAGCUCUCUCGGUUUUGUUUUUAAUUUGUUUUUUUGUUUUUAUUAAUUUUUCUUUUUAAUCUAUGUGGCAAAAUGUUAUUGGUCUACUGACUUGUGUUUUAGUAUAUAGAGGAUUUCGUUAUCUUUGCGGUUUAGUAACACCAAAUAUACCAGUCUAGUUUUAACUUGAAUCGCAAAUAAACUACACUUAAUUUUCACCAUAUAUAUAUAUAUAUAUAUAUAUUAAUCUUUUUAUUGUGUUGUGCCAUGCAUAUUGAAAAAGAAAAACAUUUCUUUGAUGUACA